UUUAGGUUUCUUCUUUCUUUUUCUUAGAAGAGUGCUACCGUGUUCUCUUCAUCUUCAGUGUCCAGAUGCCAGAGUAUUCUCCUCCCCAUUGUUGCUGUUACUCUCUGGCAAUCGCGCUGUUUGUGUCAAAAUUUAUCACUCUAGGGAGUGGGUUCAUCUGUGGGAUUCUCAAUUGUAUUAGUUAUCCAUAGCAGCGCAUCCUAUUCUUGUUCCAGCAGAACUACCAUGCUACCGUUCCCUCCUUCACCGGCAGUGGGUCAUCUUUGCCAUUGGACAAGGGAACUGUUGUGGUUUUUUCUUUCCCCAGUGAUAGUACGAAUUUCUGUAUAUACCCUGGAUAAUUUGAUUUCUCAACUUCUUUUUAUCUUGCAAUUCUGCCUAAUUUAUGGAUAGUUCUAUGGUUUGACAUUGAACAUCUUUGGGUCUUUGAAAUUUGUUGAUUUGUUGAUUUACCGUUUGUUAAUUUAGUUUUAUUUUAGUUUUUUUUGUUCUUUAUAUUUUUUGGCAAAAUAGGUUUAGUGUUUAUAACAGCUUCGUUUUCCCUAUUUAUAAUAUCUAGAGUGUAGUUGAAGAUGACCUAUUAGGUAAUUCUUUUAGAACAUUGAAGUUAGGUUCAAUGUAGGAUAAAUUGCAAUAUGCUCUAUGAUUUGAAGUCAAAAUUUAUUAGGCUCUAUGAUCUGAAGUGAAAAUUGAUUGUCAGGCUUUUUUUGUUGUCAUAGUGUAUAUGUAAAAGUAUCUGCAACUAUAUCUACUUGCCUAUGAUAAUAUUUAUUAUAUUAUAUGUAAUAGGCAAUAGACCAUAGGAUGUGGUGUAAUAUGUUCUAUAUUAUUUAUUGUUUAUUUAUUUAUUAUCACUCUUAUUAUUAUUUCUGUAUAAAUGAGUCACUAACAUAUUAUUCCCAACUAUUAGUUUUGUUUUUCCCUUUCUUUCUACUCUGUUGUAAACAGUUGAUAAAUAGAUCCAUACAUUGGUGUGAAGGCAUUCUAUCAUGAAUACUUGUUUUCAUUCCCUGGAUAAGAUAACACCAUGGAGAGAUGAUUGGAGAAUAAGUGUCAAGAUUAAUAGGGUAUGGUCUGCUUCAUAUCCUGUUCCAACAAGAGAUGGCAAUCUGAUAUAUAUGGUGUUAAUAGAUGAUAAGGUAAGUUUCUCAUGUGACUUCUUUUUUCUUUUUUUCUUUGAGUCAUGUUCGUGUGUUACUACUCUUCCAUUUGUUUAUUUGUGUUAUUUGUUUUUCUUCCUACAUUCAUUUUAUAUUUAUUUAUUUGUGUAGAGUAACAUAUUUUUUUAUUUAUAAUUAAAUAUGUUUUUUGUGAUUAUUCACAGUUAACAAAAAUUGAAGCAACUAUCACACAGUCUCUAAUUUCUUAUUUUAAUGAAGUACUAGAAGAAGGAAAUGUUUAUGUGAUUGCACAUUUUACUGUGGUUCCCAACUUUGGGUUAACUAGGUUGACAAAGCACCGCUUUAGAAUUAUUUUCCAUAGCAAAACAAUUGUUGUACCAACGAUGUCUAUUGGUAUGCCCAAUGUUGCAUUUAAGUUUACUUCAAUUGAUGAAAUAGUUGAGAAGACAUGUGAUGAAAAUUUCUUGAUAGAUUUCAUUGGGUUCAUAACUGGUGUACGUCAAGAAACUGAUAUGGGUUCACAUGGGGAAAGAAUGAAAGUUAUAAUCUUGGAAGUUGUUUCAGGCGGGUAUAAAUUAUAUAAAUAUACUUUCUAUUGGGUUGUUUUGUUUUUUGUUUGAUUUUUUUAAGUUGAUGUUUUUUUGUUACUUGGAUUAAAUUAAGGAAGAAGAAGAUACAGUAUAAUGUUAUUGGAAGAUCGUGUGAGGUAUUUGAUUUAUCUAUGUUAAGGAAAUAUCAAUUAAAGACCACCAGUGGUGGUGCUAGAGGCUUUCAAAAUUAAAGUCCUUGGAGAUUACGUGUGGCUACAAAAUGUGAUUAAUGUAUCUACAGUUCUUGUAAACCCUGAUAUGUACGAAAAUGUGGAGUUUCUUAGCAGAUUUAAUGUUUCAUGCUAUGAGUUUUCAAGAUUUAUUCCCAUUGUAUCUGAUUAUUUAAUAGCCAGUGUUGGUGAUGAUUUCGUUGACUGGAGAGCUGUUCGAUCUAUUGAUCAACUAAAGAAAAAUUGUGAGGUUUGUCACUAUCAAUUACGUGAAAUUGGUAGUGUAUUGAAAAUACUACUUAUUUUUUAUUAUGAGAGUGCAAAUUGCAAUUUAAAGCAGUAAGAACAAAAGGCUUAUAGUUGUUCGUUUCAUUUAUAUGUUUACUUUGCAAGAUAAAAUUUUCUAUGUUAUGGGAACAGUUACAGAGGUUGUUGAUAAUCCAAAUUGGUGGUAUUAUUCAUGUGUUUGUGGAAAUGCUGUUGUUGCUGAUGAUAAUACUUAUCAUUGUGAUAUUUGUGACUCAUGUGUGGAACAUGUGGUUUUAAAGUAUAGAAUAACUGGCAUUGUUGAUGAUGGAACAUCAUUUGCAGUAUUUGCACUUGUUGAUAAUGCUGCAACAAAAUUAUUUGGAAAAACUUGUGCCGAAGCUUUCUUGUAUAUAGAGAAAGAAUUCUCCUCAGAUUGAAAUGUUGUCUCAAUGGUUAAUCAAUCUAGCAUCGUCCCCCUAUUUCAUGGAGUUAUUGGAGAUAAGAUAGUGUUCAAAGUUUAGAUGCGCAAUGUUUUUGGACAACAUUAUUUUUGUCAAUUUAAAGUUGUUAAUCUGUUUGGUGAUAUAGCUGGACCAUCUUUGCCUGUUCAGUGUCUUAAUG